CUCCGGUUGAUCCCGCCGGACCCGACUGCUAUCGGAUUGAGAUUUAGCCAUGCGAGUUGAACGUCCUUUGAUUGCAGGGGGCGUAGCAUACGGCUCAGUAACACGUAGUCAACCUGCCCUGGAGACGCGGAUAACCCCGGGAAACUGGGACCAAUCCGUGAUAGGUCACUUCAUCUGGAAGGAGAGGUGGCCCAAAAGGGAGUUGUGGGCUUCCACAUCACUCGCUCUAGGAUGGGACUGCGGCCGAUCAGGCUGUUGGCGGGGUAAUGGCCCACCAAACCUGUAACCGGUACGGGCCUUGAGAGAGGUGGCCCGGAGAUGGACACUGAGACAAGGGUCCAGGUCCUACGGGGCGCAGCAGGCGCGAAACCUUCGCAAUGCGCGAAAGCGUGACGAGGUUAAUCCGAGUGGCCUCCGCUGAGGAAGUCUUUUGCCGACUGUAAAAAGGUCGGAGAAUAAGGGGAGGGCAAGUCUGGUGUCAGCCGCCGCGGUAAUACCAGCUCCUCGAGUGGUCGGGGCGAUUAUUGGGCCUAAAGCAUCCGUAGCCGGUUCCGUAGGUCUCCUGCAAAAUCCAGUCGCUCAACGAUUGGCCCGCAGGAGAUACCGCGGGACUAGGAGGCGGGAGAGGUGGACGGUACUCCACGUGUAGGGGUAAAAUCCUUUGAUCCGUGGAAGACCACCAGAUUGCUUGCGGUUAAUGACCACAAGCACGGUGAAUGGCGAAGGCGGUUCACCAGAACGCGCUCGACGGUGAGGGAUGAAAGCUGGGGGAGCGAACCGGAUUAGAUACCCGGGUAGUCCCAGCCGUAAACGAUGCGAGCUAGAUGAUCCAGUCGCAAAUCGCGACUGGAGUGUCGCAGGGAAGCCGUUAAGCUCGCCGCCUGGGGAGUACGGUCGCAAGACUGAAACUUAAAGAAUUGGCGGGGGAGCC
rnacentral:rRNA from 1 species